rnacentral:tRNA from 1 species
CGGGGUGUAGCUCAGUUUGGUAGAGCGCCUGGUUCGGGACCAGGAGGCCACAAGUUCAAGUCUUGCCACUCCGACCA